rnacentral:lncRNA from 1 species
ACUUUGAGGAAAUGAAAAUGUACUAUGGGACCCAGUUGAACCUAAGAGAUAAGGUAUGCGAAGCCCUUGAUGGAAGUCCUCUUAAGACUUACUUGAUUUGAUUAAAAUUCAUGGGAGCUAAGGAAACUUCUGAGAAAAUAUCUCAAAUAAUGACAACUAUUGGGUUCUAGACAUCUACAGGAAUGCCUAACACACUGGAGACAACCAGUGGAAGCUAACCACAGAAGGUGCAGGGAUGCCUGACAGAGAAUCCACCCCAAGAGAAGAAAGAUUUGGUUCUCUGAGUCCAACUAGUAACAGAAUGAGAGAAUGGGAGAGAAGUGGUUCCAGGUAUAUGAUAAAUGUAUCCCUGACCUGGCCACCCUAAAGGGGUGCACAGGCCCUCUAGAGGUAGAAGAUAGAGUACAAACACUGUGUGAAAAGCCAACAAAAUGUUAAAACAUCAGAAAACAAGCAUAGGACCCUAUGACAGAGCCUAACAUUCAUCACAGGAAUUCACUUUCCAAUACAUAUCACAGCAAAGAAAUGUAUGAGUAAUUCUGAGCCAAUGAUGGCAGACCAGGCAUUAUGGGUGGUGGCCCAAGUGGAAUGAUGAGACAGUGCCCGGACAGUGGUCUGGGAGCAGUUGUGCCUGGGGCAAUAGAGGUAUGUUGGUUGUGAAAAGUCUGGUGUUGUAGGUGGUAGC